CUCUAAAGGAUCUAUCACAAGAGGAACAGGGUGCAAAACACGGGAAACCAACUGCCAUGUCGAACUAUGGUUUAGGUUGGUGAAACACAGCAUUCUGUGCAAAAGAAAAUACCUCAGACCUGCAGAGUUUGUCUCUAAAAUGUUUGCCUCAGUGCAGGGGAGGUAUGUUGAACAUGUGAUUCAACAAAGCCUGCCAAUUGAUGUACUUCAGAGAAACCUUCAAAGCUCUGUUAAGCUGGAAGAUGACCCAGAAGAGCAAUGGUGUAAGAGGGACACCUCUUCUGGCAGUUCAAAGCGCAAGUCAAAAUAUUUCAAUCCUCCAAAAAACAUUCCAAACCCCAAGACCAAGACCAAAAGCAAGAAGAUCAUAAAAGUGGAGCAGAAUCAACGGGUUGAAGAUGCACAAUUAAACUUGCUGUGGAAAAAGAGGGGAACAGAGAUAAUUGUUGCAACCCUGCCAUCCCAAGUGAAGGGUCGGAGCCUCUUCAUCCACCACACUGAUCUACGGUGUCUACGACCCCACCUGUGGUUGACAGGAGAGAUAAUUCAGGGAUUGCUGCAUCUCAGUGCCUUCACGUACAACGUGGUGGACACCAUUUACCUAAUGGAUUAUUACACCGCAGGUGUACUUUUAUUUGGUGACAGAGCUACUACACGUCGCCACACUUUACCUAAGGUAAACUUCGAUAACUUUGACGGAAUCCUGUCAUUUGUCCACGUGAACAAAAAUCACUGGAACAUGCUGUACAUUCAUGCAAAGUCUGGUACUGUGUACCAAAUGGAUCCCUCACCAGCAUCCUCUGAGCUUGAGGACUCUACCCAUGCGGCUCAGAGACUACAGGAAUACUUGAAGAUUAGAAAACAUCAGGGGAAAACUGACUGGGUGGAUGUGAAGUGGAAAGGAGGAGUGAUGCCCCACCCAGUGCAAAUGGAUGGUUGCAGCUGUGGUGUCAUUGUUGUUGAAAUAUACAAGAUGAUUUCAAAGGAUAAGUUCACUAUUGUGUACUUUGAGCCCCCUUUCUCGGUUGGCUAGGAUGAAAUAGAAUGGUUGACACUGAAAUGUUGACGUUUGGUCCUGUCUCUGGAUGGCCAGAGCAGUGAUGGAAGCCUUCCCUGAGUUCCCCAAAAUGAACUUCUCAACAAAAAGGAGAGCCAUGGAAGAGGCGAGGAGAGAUAUGGCUCUCCAAGUCCUUGAAUCAUCAGUCUUUGAUGAGGAGACUUGUUCGAUGUGUGGAGCUGACAAGCCCCCUGGACAAGCACCUCCCGUUACAGACUGGAUCCAGUGUGAUAAUUGUGACCGGUGGUUCCAUAACCUUUGCUUGAACAUGGACCAAAAUAAGUUAAAGGAACUCAAGAAAAGGCAAUGGCUGUGUGUUUUAUGCCGAUGACAAGGUUGAGGAAAAUUGUGCCUCGUCCAAGUGCCAGGUUUUGUUUAGAAAUGUGAUUAAAAAAAACGUAAAAGGCGUGUUAACAUCAGAAGAUGUGGAAAGCAUGAAUGGGGAGGGGAGACACACACACACACACACACACACACACACACACACACACACACACACACACACACACA